rnacentral:tRNA from 1 species
GGGCCCGUAGCUUAGUGGUAAAGCAGCGGCCUUUUAAGCCGCUGACCAGGGUUCGAUUCCCUGCGGGCCUACCA